ACUCCUACGGGAGGCAGCAGUGGGGAAUAUUGCACAAUGGGCGCAAGCCUGAUGCAGCCAUGCCGCGUGUGUGAAGAAGGCCUUCGGGUUGUAAAGCACUUUCAGUCGUGAGGAAGGUAAUGUAGUUAAUAGCUGCAUUAUUUGACGUUAGCGACAGAAGAAGCACCGGCUAACUCCGUGCCAGCAGCCGCGGUAAUACGGAGGGUGCGAGCGUUAAUCGGAAUUACUGGGCGUAAAGCGCAUGCAGGUGGUUUGUUAAGUCAGAUGUGAAAGCCCGGGGCUCAACCUCGGAAUUGCAUUUGAAACUGGCAGACUAGAGUACUGUAGAGGGGGUAGAAUUUCAGGUGUAGCGGUGAAAUGCGUAGAGAUCUGAAGGAAUACCGGUGGCGAAGGCGGCCCCCUGGACAGAUACUGACACUCAGAUGCGAAAGCGUGGGGAGCAAACAGGAUUAGAUACCCUGGUAGGAUAGCG
rnacentral:rRNA from 1 species